UACGGAGGUGCAAGCGUUAUCCGGAUUUACUGGGUUUAAAGGGUGCGUAGGCGGGCAGGGUAAGUCAGUGGUGAAAUCUUCGAGCUUAACUCGGAAACUGCCUUUGAUACUAUCUGUCUUGAAUAUUGUGGAGGUAAGCGGAAUAUGUCAUGUAGCGGUGAAAUGCUUAGAUAUGACAUAGAACACCUAUUGCGAAGGCAGCUUACUACGCAUAUAUUGACGCUGAGGCACGAAAGCGUGGGGAUCAAACAGG
rnacentral:rRNA from 1 species